UGCUUCCUUUCUGUUUCCACAGGGCUUGGUACGCUGCUCUCACUUCCCUUCGGUGUGGCUGCUGUUCCUCACUUCUCCCAGAGGACAGAAAGAUGAAGAAUGUUGAAGAGCUGCAUUGUUUCUGGGAUGCUGUAAGCUUUGAGUGCUGACUAGGGCAGAGGUACAAUAAAGACUGGACUUCAGCAAAGCAUUCAACACUGUUUCCUGCAGCCUUCUCCAGAGCAACCUGGACAGGCUGGAAGAGUGGGCUAGCAAGAACUGUAGGAAGUUAAAGAAAGAGAAGCGCAAAGUCCUGCACCUGGGUUGAAAUAACUAAAAAACCCAGUACAGGCUAGGAUCUACGUGAUGGGAAAGGAGCCUUGUUGAAAGGAAUCUCAGAGUCCUUUUGGGCAGCUAGCUGAACAGGAGUCAGCAGUGCACUGCUGCAGCACUGAAGGCAAAUCGGAUCCUGGGCUGCAUCUGAAGGUGCUUUACUAGCAGGGACAGAGACGUGAUCAUCCCACUCUACUUAGCGCUUGUCAGGCCACACCUAGAGUGCUGUGCAAAGCUAUGGUCCCCACAAUUCAAAAAAGAUGUGGACAGACUGGAUAGGGGCCAAAGGAGGGCCACGAAGUUGGUCAAAGGGCUGGAGAACCUGCCCUAUAUGGAAAGACUGAAGGAGUUAGGUCUUUUCUGCAUGGAGAAGGAAAAGUACAGGGGAGACCCAUCAUGGUAUUUCAGUACUUAAAAGGCAUCUACAAAGAGGACAGAGGCUCUCUCUUCACAAGCAGCCAUAUGGAGAAGACAAGGGGCAACAGACAUAACUUUCAAGGAGACAAAUUUCACCUCCAUAUAAAAAAGAAAUUUUUUACAGUGAGAGCAGCUUAUCAUUGGAACAAUCUCCCCAGGGAUGAGGUAGAGCUCUUGUUGGAGAUUUUCAAGACUCAGCUGGACAGGGUGCUACGUAACCUCAUCUAGGCUCCCUUUCCCAUGAAAGACUGGACCACAUGAUCUUUCAAGGUCACUUCCAACCUGGGCUAUUCUAUUAUUCUGUAAAAGAGAAAGAGAUAAAGCAUAUUGAACAUCACCUGGAAUGCAACUGUGUAGUAAGGUAUUACUUCAUCAAGAGCAUGUGGUCAACAGCUGAUUUCAGCAAAGACUUGUUAGGAUUUGGCAUUGGUGCCCUUUGGUUAUUGCCUAUAUUGACUGUUGUCCAUCAGCUCCCAAACUCAAGAAGCGGCUCUCACACAGCAGCAAGCAAAAACCCUUCCUUGAAACAACUUUCCCUGCAGUUGCUUCCCUGCCAUGAAAACUGCAAAGACACCGUCUUUCCAAUGCUCCUCUCGCUGCCACUCCUCCUACAUAGGAUACAGGAGGAAAAUUUCCCUGGGUCAAGUAUGUAGAGGAGGAGAAUUAAAGAAAAGAGUGUGGAGCUGGGCUGGAAGAACUGUCAGUUUGGCAGGAAGGAAGGAGAAGAAAGUUAGCCAAUAGUGGUGCAUGUUCCUGUCUGUCUGCUGAGAUUGAACCCAGUAAUACCAAAUCUCUGUUUCUUUUACUGUCUAGAAAGAAACUGUACUGCCCAUGUGUCCCCAGCUCAUGGCAGAUGCAGAGCUGAACAGGAAGUAACUUUUCCUUGCUAUGAGUUCCUCUCUCAGAUUAUGCUGUCAUGACUUUUAAAAAUAUUUAGACCCUGUUGCUGCUGAGGAUGUGGUCAUUGGGAUCUUUGCAGUUCCAUGGGAUGGGGCCUUGAACCAUGUUCAUUGUUAAACAGUUCAGGAAUUCCAUCUCAACUGACAUGAUUUCAAAGAUGUUUGUGAAGUCGACUCAGUAUUUGCUGGCCAAUAGUAUUUCAGUCCCUGCUCUGACAUGUGCGCCGUUACAAUUGGAAAAGUUAAUGACAUUUCAACUGUUCCCUUGUAAGGAAAUCUCACCAGAAUUGAAUGUUAAGAGCCUGCAGAUCACUCAAGUGCAGACCACCUUCCUAUAUGUGACUAAUAGAGUUGCAUUUUGCUGUGAACUUAUGUUUUGCUUCAGCUAUCUUUAUUUUUCUGUAGGGGACAGAUAGGUUUGAAUGUCUGAGAGUUCCAAGGAAUUAUUCAAAAUUGCUGUUGACAGAAUCACGGUGUGAAAUAUUGCAAUUUACUAGAGAAACCAGGAAAGAAUGCACUUUGUGUCUGUGGUGGCAACCUUCUGGUAACCUUCUCAUGUUAUCUGUAGAUAAAAAAACCAAAAAGUGCCGGGGUUUAUUUAUUUAUUAUUCUGAGGGAUGAACCACCCUAAAGGGAUCCUGCUACCUCCCAGAUGAAUUACUUCUGACAUUUCACUUGUGAUCUGAAACAUGGAACCAAAUCUUGUUCCAGGCAAGUUUUAAUAGCUGGUUUCCUGCACUAAAUAUACAUUGUAUAGAAAAAGCAAUGGUUAGGAGGGGAAAAACAAGCACUACUACUGGUAUGGGUGCCUAGCCUUCUGCUGCUCCUUCCUGCUCUCAUAGUUUGGUAAUUACAACCAGGAGGCUGGACGGUUUUGUGUGUGGCUUUGUUUUCAGUUUCAUAGACAUUUAAACUAUUCAUUGAGCAAAGUUGGUGUGGUGAUUUAAAGCAGGUCAGAGAUUAGUCCAUUUGAACGUGGGGGUGCAACACAGUCCUUUGUGUAAGAGCUGAGGAGCACAUCCCUAGACCUCAGUGUCCUCAGGCCUUACAAUGGGAAGGUGAGCCUCUGAUACUGAACUCACAACAGCUCCUGUUUAAAUUGUGCCAUGGCUCCACAGUUACUUUGAGACUAUCUAAGAGUGUAAUGUUUUCCUCAUUUUUAAGCUUUUAUUAACUAUUUCUUUUUUAGAUAAAGGCUGGAUAUUUGAGGUCUAACAAUUAACUGUAAGCCCGGAACAAUCAAAAACAUAUAUUGUGGUGCUUUUCAAGUUUCCUUCCUAAUUUAUGAAUACUGUGUGGGAGAGGACAACAAUCUGUACUCAGGAGAAAUCCAGUGAAUCAGCCUGUUCUCUAUGGUGAAAUAUUCUUUUACGCAGCUGCUGUACCUUGGAGAAAAAUCCAAAUAAACUCCAGAUUCUACUUUAAUCAAACUCAUUUAAAACAAACAAACAAAAAAGUUAGGCUGUUGUUCUUAAAACAAAGAUACUUCCCAAGAAUGGAAUCUAAAGUCUGCAGUCUUAAUGCAAUAUUUGGUAUUGUUUGGAAACAUUGUAUAAUGCCCCCCUCCCUUUCUCUUUGGCUGCAGGAGCAAUACUGAUUAAUCACACUAGACUAUUAUGGAAGUUAGGCAAAGGCAGAGAUGGGGAAUAGUACAUAGAUCUAUUGUCCCAGGGAAGGAUCUGGGAGGGGUUCUUCCCUAAGUGCUCCCACAUGCAAACAGUGCUGGUUGAGAUCCCUUUUUAGGAAAUUCAGACCGUUAUCUGUGUACCCAGCUGACCAGCUAGGGGCAGAGAGAAACAAGCACAGCCCUCACUGCUUUUCCAUCCUCUGCGGUGCCGAAUGCCCGCCAACAGUAACCACUUCUUGCCUUGCUCUGUCACUGGGCAGGGACAUAAGAGGUGACAGAACAGGUACUUACACACUCAGAGUCACCACAAAAGGGCACCUAGAGAAGUCGGUGUCAGUCUGAUUUGACCUGAGUUGAAUUAUUACACCCUUUGUCCCUACUCUAGGGAGUAAAGGACAAUAUGGAAAUGUACUAGUCAGCUCAGUGACAGCAUAGGGCAGUGGCUGUUCCUCUACACCUUUUCUGGAACAAAAACUAGCUGAGGCAUUAACACAGAUUUCCUCAACAUGACUGAUGACUGACAGUUUUCAGUUUCAGCCUGUAAUUACUACUUUACCAAGUGUCACUGUGCUAUGACCAUAAAAGGUCUGGGAACUUGAUGUAAAACCUGAGGCAUCUUGGGAUUACGUGACUCAGGGGACCACUUGAAUGGUCAUGUACUCUGACAUCUCUUCUACUUAUUGUCCUAAUGUGACAGACUCCAGGAGUAAGGCUGGAAGCUCUCCAUUCUUAGAGACUCUCACCAGUGAUGUCUUUGCUGGGCACAGUCCUCUGUAGCACAGAUCUUUUUGAAGGCACAGCAGGAUAAUGUUCCUUUGUGCAUUUCUGCUUCACCUUCUGGUCUGACCAGAUACAGCCAUGGCCCAGCAAAGCUCUAACCUCAAUAACAACUGUUCUUGUUCACUGUGGACAUCUGUGCAAGUCUCAAGGGACUGCUAAGGUUUUUGGCAGUGUGUCCAUUCCAGAUUGCUGUUAUGACUACACAUAUCUGCGUUUUAAUUUAUAUGACGAGAAAGAGUUUCAAGCAUUUUUUUUUUCUUAGUGGCAGACAUAGCCUUGGUCACCAUGCCUUACACAGCUAUUGCAGCCACAGGGGGAUCCAACAGUCAAAAAAUGCCCACUCCUAUCAUCCACAUGCUAGAAGACACCAAGAACUUCACGUACAUGCUCAGGACUCUUUCUGGCUCCCUGGCAACUGCCAGGGAUAAACCACUCACUCACUGUAUGAAAUAGACAAUGGACAUGCACUGUUUCACAGGAUAAUAGAAUCAUAGAAUGAUUUAGGUUGGAAAAGACCAUUAAGAUCAUUGAAUCCACCUGUUAACCCAGCACUGCCAAGUUCAUCACCAAACUGUGUCCCUAAGCACUGCAUCUACACGUCUUUUAAAUACCUCCAGGGCUGGUGACUCAACCACUUCCCUGGGCAGCCUGUUCCAAUGCUUGACAACCCUUUCAGUGAAGAAAUUGUUCCUAAUAUGCUGACACAAUUUAAGGCCAUUUCCUUUUGUCCUAUCACUUAUUACCCAGGAAAAGAGACCAACACUCACCUCAUUACAACCUCCUUUCAGGGAGUGGUAGGGUAAGAGAGUGCCCCCUCAGCUUCCUCCUCUCCAGACUAAACAACCCCAGUUCCCUCAAAUGCUCCUCAUAAGACUUGUUCUCUAGACACUUCACCAGCUUCGUUGCCUGUCUCUGGACACGCUCCAGCACCUCAAUGUCUUUCUUGUAGUGAGGGGCUCAAAACAGAACACAGUAUUCAAGGGGUGGCCUCACCAGUGCCCAGUACAGGGGGGCAAUCACAGUUCCCUUGUCCUGCUGGCCUCGCUAUUUUGGAUACAAGCCAGCAUGAUACUGGCCUUCUUGGGCCACUGCUGGCUCAUGUUCGGCCAGCUGUCAGCCAGCACCCCCAGGUCCUUGCCCACCAGGCAGCUUCCCAGCCACUCUGCCCCAAGCCUGUAGCAUUGCAUGAAGUUGUUGUGACCCAAGAGCAGGAACCAGCACUUUUCCUUGUUGAACCUAAUAAAAUUGGCCUUGGCCCAUCAGUCCAGCCUGUCACCAUCCCUCUGCAGAGCCUUCUUCCUUCAAGCAGAUCAACACACCUGCCCAACUUGCUGUUGUCUGCAAACUUACUAAGGGUACACUCAGUCCCCUUGUCCAGAUCAUCAAUAAAGAUAUUAAACAGGACUGGCCCCAAUACUGAGCCCGGGUAACACCACUUGUGAGCAGUCACCAGCUGGAUUUAACUCCAUUUAUUGUGACUUUUUGGGCUUAGCCACAGCCAGUUUCUACCCAGUGAAGAGUACACCCAUCCAAGCCAGAAGCAGCCAGUUCCUCCAGGAGAAUGCUGUGGGAGGUGGUGUCAAAGGCUUUACUAAGACCCAGGUAGACAACAUCCACAGCCUUUUCCUCAUCCACUGAGUGGGUCACCUUGUCAUAGAAGGAGAUUGGGUUAGUUAUUUCUGACCUUAUACUCCCAGAGGAAAAACUCAUUGCAGCUGCAAGCAGGACCUUCACAUUUGCAAGACAUUCCUCCCACUCCCAGCCUUCUCCAAACACACCUUAGAGCAAACGUAACAACAGGCAACAUGGCCUACAAAAUACUUCCUGAGAGCAGGCUCUGCUUGCAGCAAAAUAUGAAAUUGUAGCUCACAGAACAGAUUUGUAAAGGCACUCUGUUAAAAGCCAGUAGGAAUUAGGCACAAAAGCAUAUUUACAAAUGCUACUUGGUGAGGAUUUGCAUCUGGGCACCUGAAAUCUUUCUGAGGCCCUGAACUUCACUCAGUGGAUUUGCCCUGUUUCUUUUCCAUCUGCAAGGUGUGGAAGAAAGGCAACCGUUAUAUUUUGUCUCAUUUUGCAGGCAUUGUAAAUGUUCCAUUUUACGUCAGUUCCAUACAUGCUUUUCGCAUCAGAGCAAAAUAGUUUAUGAAUUCAGAUUCAUGCAGUUAUCUCUACUAACUGGGUUACGACGUUUCAGACCCUUGAUCUGAAAUGCAGCAGGGAUAAAGUGAUGAUUCACCUACUUGUGUUCACAGCUUGUUUUACUGAGCAUUGCAAUAGUUUGUUUUCCCCCAGCAACACCCAAAUAUGUUCAGACGCAGCUGAUACUGUGGUAUUGUGAACCUUUGAGGUAUUUUUUUUUUAGAUUCUUAUGGUGAGUCCAGUUGUAAAGUGAAGAUCCAGAUGAACCAAGGUCAGAGGUGUUUACGUUCCUAGGUUCAGUCUGGGAAACUAAAAAUAUGGGAUGGAAUUUUAUUCCAGCAUUCUCCUUUCCUGACAUUCAGGGUGGCAGCAGCUGUUAACGGUUGGCGUUAAUGACUUGGUGCCCAAAAAGACCCAUCAGGUGACAGAUUGUUAAUUAUUAUGUAAGGUGAUCAUUUUUCAAAUGCUUCUAAAAAAAUUUGUAUUAUUAUUGGUAUCAUUCAUUGUAAUGUGUGAUAAUACUGACCAGAUUUCAACUCCAUCAUUCACAAACAGCCCUAUAUUUGAAAAGAAAUUGGACUGCUUAGUUUAGGUAAAGCAGCAACCCCCCACAAAGGGAGGAAAAAAAAUAAUUCUGCUGUAUAUGUUACACAUUGGAAAUUUUUUUCUUCCAGUCAUGGAAUACGAGGACUAGCAUAUUAUUAAAAACUUUAUUUUCUAUAUAUUUGCUGAUAUUCCAGCAUGAAUAAGGCAUGACAAACAAUGGCCAGAGUGUUACAAAUACUUAUGGAGAUGCUGAAUUUUAGACAUGCAGGUAGUCCAUUGAAAUUCAACAAGCAUAGUAACAUACAAGCCAAAAGCAAUGUUGAUAUUUAGAGAGAAAAAAGCCAAACAAACACUACUGUUAGUUACUCAGGGAUGUACCUUAGUAAUGACAUUGUUAAUGUAAGAAUGUGUUUCCUAGGCAUACUUUAGAAACUGACCAUCUUUGACUCAGUUUUCUUGAAGAAAUGCUGCAACAGAGGCAUGAUAUGCGUUUCUGUGGGAUAGGCAGACCUCCCUUUACACUCUCACUUCCAUUUUUUAUUUGUGCGCUCUGUGUGUUGGGAGUGAACCAGGGUCCUGUUAGUGGCAGCGGGUGGUCAAACAAACAGCAAGUUCUGCUCAACCCUGCGGCAGAGACAGGCUGGGCGUGAGUACCGACGCUGAAUCAAUGUGUGCUAAUAGAGAUUUAGUGGGGAUAUGUCAGCUUCAGAGAAGUGAUGCUUGGAAAAGCAUCUGAGCUCUGUGGUGGGCUGUUUUAAGUAUGAAGAAUGAUUUGUACCUGACCUCCGAAUUGGUGUGCAGGUUGGACAUUCUUCUGAAAUUGUCAGGUACUGAGAACAGGCAUGUGAAUGCCUCAAGCUAGUGGAACUGGACUUCAGAUCCAAUUUCUUUUCCCUGGAGACUGGCACCCUAAUUGCUUGGCUCUUUUGGAGGACAUGAAGGGGAGCAGCAGGACAAGGAGAGGAGCUAAAGCUUUCACUUGCUCUUUUUUCUUGUAGAAAUUGAAAGGUCUCAAAUUCAUCCCAAUAUGGAAUGGAAAACUGUUUCUCAACUUGAACAUACUCCUGGAACGGGAGUAAAUGGUUUCCUACUAAUUUCUAUUCAUGGUUCUUCAUUCUUUCUAUUUACAGCUGUGGAUUUCAGAUUAUGAAAACUGAAGUCCAGACACCUUUGAAUAGCUGUCCUCCCAGGAGAUGCUUAGUAUGGGUGCACAUGGGUGAGUGAAGAUGGAGGACAGCUGCCUUGUAAAAAGUAUCCCACUGCUUACCUUCCUUCAUUUUCACAGUAUUCUUUUGGCCUUCAACUAACACCAACCAUUUAGUAGAAGGAAAAAUAGCUGAAAGCCUGUCAUAAAUAAUUAUAUAGUCCUGCAGUCCUCUUAGCAAUGUUCAGCAGUUAUUUUUGAAACAUGCCAGCACUAAUACACAAUCGUUAAAGUGCUUCAAGUUAUUUGCUUUUUGUGUAGUGGUGAAUUUUUCCACUGAUGUUUUUUAUUAGAUGAAAACAAUGCAACUGUCUGGGAGCCAAGAAGAUCCUCUAUUCUAAUCCAUGUAAGACAAGGAUUUGACUAAGAGCUUGUUGCUGUAACUGUGGUUGCCCAGGCCAGAAGAGAAAAACUCACCGAACCAACAACAACCCCCACAGAUAUUAGUAGAUAGGGGAAAAAAGGCACAAACGUCCACUGAUUGUGUAAUUGCCACCUCUGUUGAAUGAACUGGGGCAAGAUGAUUCAUAGUAUGAUGAUUUAUUAGAUCAGGGAUAUUGCUAAUUAAGUAAGUAGCCAUUGCAGCCAAGUGCUUCAUCUUCAGACCAUUUUUCUCUUUAGUGUUCUCUGGAAUCUUGUGUCUCUUACUACACCAUUGGAUGCAGAUCUUGUAAUAGUUAUCCAUGCGUUUUCUACCUUUAAAUUAAUCUGACAUAAUAUGCUGCAUGGGAACUAUCUGCCAAGGCUUUCUGGGAAAUGUGUUAGUGCAGCAUAUAGCUGGCCUCUUACUGAGCAGCAGAGAACUUUACCUCGGUGCUCUGUGAUUGGCAUCAUCAUCAUUUCUUCAUUUCCAUGUAGCAUUUAAAGUAUUGCUUUUACCCAGUGAAACUGAAAUAGGUCUCUUUUAGCUUGUUAACUUAAGAAUCUGCCUGUGCUGUGCAAUGCUAUCUCUAGAAAAGACAAAAGCUGAAAUGCCUAUGUCUCUUAUUAUCAAAAUGUGACAUUAACAUCUGGUAAGCUUGACUUGACAAGUCUCAGCAACUUUUAAUUUAAAAUGUAUUUCAAGGUAAAGAAGUUGCAAGAAUAUUGAACUAGAAAAAGAGAAGGGGGGGAGAAAAAGGAAGAGAAAAUCUUUAUUAUAGUGCAUUAUUUUUACACUUAGAUAACUUUUAACAUUCUGGGGAGCCAACAGUGUUGUUGAACCAGUUUUGCCAGUUUAUCUUAUUAAAAAAAUACUAAGAAGUACUUAUCAGUCUUUUAUUGCAGUUCUUUGUGGGACUGAGCAAAACUGUGUGAAAUCAUCUUUUCCAUCACCUGGCUGUGAAUCACCUGCAUUAGUUGUAAAUUACGUCUGCAAGAAAAUGAAAUGCUGCAAUUAGACAGAGAUCGCUCAGCUCAAGCCUCACAAGGCCUUAAACUUCCUCACAGAGGAAGAAUGCACUUUAGGUGACUUCAUCACUUGCAAAAUAAGACAGAGGACCAGAAAAGUUUCCUAUAAAACUUGAGAAAUGCUCUGAGUAGGCAAGUAUCAUAUAGAAAGUAUUUGUGAAUGCUUCUGCAUAAUCCACAGUUCAUUUCUGGCUUUGGGCAUGCACAUAAUGUGAUCAGAUGAAUGGGUCCAGAUAGUUGCACUGUCACUCGACUCCAGAGUCUAAGAUGCAAUAAAAAUUUUAAUUUUAGCAGGACAAAAUGGUUUGAACUACAUGGAAUUCAGCCAGAUUGGAGUUCAGGCAGAAUGGAUAUGUAACUGUCUGUACCUAUGUGUGUAGAUGUGUCCUAAAUCUGUUUACUUGCAAACACUGGGGCAAGUGAAAUGCAGGCAGCAUAGGAGGUUCAAGGCUCAGGUAAUUGUAUUUGUACAGGAUGCCCUAUUUUAAGAAAAAGAAGGAUCAUGACACAGAAGCAUUGACAGGACAAUGAUAAAUAUGUAAAGGUAAUUUGCCAAGAGGAAGAGAAAUAUUUGCCAUAAAAAAUGAGCACAUCUGAGCAGACAGAAUGGAAAUAAUAUUACAUGAGCCCGAGGGCUAUCAUAUGGUUUGUACACAAAAUUAGGAAUGAACUGGAAGCUAAAUUUCAUGGGUGAAGAACAGACCAGUUCUAGUUAAAAAUAUUGUGAAAGGAAAAAUUACAUCAUUAAGGAUGAUGUGUGGCAUUCAGAGCAGGUAUAGGAGGGGAUAAUAGAGACUUAAAGAUGAAAAUACCAGAGGUCUUUCUGAGAACAUCAGAAGGAUUGAAAUUGGCAAUAAGUUAGGGCCAGGCCAGGGUGCUUGUCCUAGGUGUUUCAAACAUUGUAAAUAAUUUCAUUUUUUUCAAUUAUUUUAUUUUAUUUUAUUUUAUUUUACGAGAUUGUGUUAAAAUUCUCACUAGAGGUUUUUUGUUUGGGUUUGGGUGUUGUUUUUUUAUAUAUAUUUGUCCCAAAUGAUUGUUGAUCAUUACAUAUGAGCAAUAAAAAAUGUGACUGUGUGGGCUGGCUAUAAUGAAGAUGGGAUUUUGUGUUCAUUCAUCACAAGAUGUAAAACAAGUGCAUCUGUUAUCUAUUUCAAGAUCUUUUUUUCUUAUGAGUAGCUUCAUGUAUAACUGAGCUAAUGAGGAUCUUUGUAAAAAAUCAUCAGGAAAGAAAGUGCAUAGAGGCUUCAACAUGGUGUCUUUCUGGUGGGCUCAGUCAUGACAGAAGAAUUACAGAAAAAUAGGGCUUACCUUACACAUUGUCACACAAGCUUUAGCAUACAAUUUCAGACAGUCAUCAGGGCCCUCUCUAUUAAUGCUGUAUGGAAAUCCAGCUCUUACCUUAUACAUCUGCCUUAUGAUGUAGAGAACUGGCUUGUGAAGGCGCUAAACCCUCUUCAAUUAAUACAGAGAACCAAAUAGUAGCUUAGGUAAGAUGCUUCCAAAUGGCCGGUAACAUAAAUCUCACUUUAGCAAUACAACAAAAAUCCCUCUGCCUCCAAGAAGCUGUUGAAGGAGAGAGAAACGUAUAGGUCCUGCAAACAGCUAGUGGAAGUUGGGUACAGAUCUCAGCAAGUACCUGCAAACUCCAGCCUUGGGGUGUUAGGCUGUCCCUCCUACCUAGCAAAGGAGGGAUAUGGUAGCAAAAGGCUGCGUGCAAAGAAGCCUGACCUCAUCUAAAGCACUCUAGUCAUGUGUUGCUUGUAUAUAAUUAUUGUGAACUUCAGAACCAACACAGGCAGUGAGCUGCUGACACAAGGGAAGAGCAUGGAGGUAGGAAGAAGCUUGAACACGGUCAUCUGAGUGAAUUAGUGCAGAGCACAGAGACUUGCAUUCUCUGUGUAAACAGCAGAUGCUGUUUAAAGACAUACCUUCUCAGCUGUUUGCCUGCUGGAGGUUACUGUUCCUGUAACUGUGCUGGUAGAAAGGAACAUGUAUGUGUCAGCAGCUCCCACUCACAGACCUGCAUCUUCAUACAAGACCACUUUUACUGGUGACAUCAGCUAAGAUGCUGGUCCCGAUGUUCCCAUCAGGGCCAUGUGGGCACAAACUGAAUUAUUCUGAUUCUGUCAUGAGGAGGCAGUAGGAAAUGGUGGGCAGUGGAAAGCUGUAAAUUAAUAGCUCAACAUUCACCAGAGAUGCUUUGUCAAAGCCCUAAAUCCAUGUAGAAUUUGAUUGUUCAUCUCCUCCAAAAGCCUCUGUCAUUCAUUCACAAUUGCUUUAAUCAGCAGUUUGCUUAUGGUAGGGGACACGCUUCCUGUUAGAGCAAGCUGUUGGAGGCCACAGAGGUUUAAAGGCAUAAACAAGAAUUAAAUACCCGACCCUAAUGACUUUUAGUGUAACCUAGUCUUUAGUGUAACCAAGUGUUGUAGUCUGCACCUUUCAAAUGCUUACCUGUGGACCUGAAUGUGCUGUUUUUCAAUACAUCUUUGAGAUGUGUUUAGUCUUCUCCUAGAAAUUGCUGUGCUAUUUUUGCAUAUUCAGAUCUCUGUAUCAGUAUCAUUCCAGUUUGGAGAGGCCAACUGUUCCCUCUGUUUUCAUAUGAAGAUAGAAUGAAUCAGUGCUACUUCCACCCAUAUUGCUGUUCCCCCAAAUGCUUCCACAGAUGUACUAGGAACAUGAAGUUCUGCGGUCUAUAACAGUAAUACCCCAGACUGGGCUGCUUUCAAAAACCACACUGAAGGAACCAUACAAUUAUAAGUAACUCAAGGCUGGUAGGAGUUAUCAUAUGUUGCAUGAGGUAAGAUCCCAUGAGGGUGCUCAGGUGAUAGCAAAUCUCUAACAGGAAAAAAAAAAAUCACAGAAGCAAAUGGGCUUCCAGCAAUUCUGUGUCUCCAAGACUGGCCAGCCCAGUACUUACCAGACGACUGUAAGGAAACUACUGACUGGCAUAUCAUUUCUUUUCAAUUUGUUGUGUAAAUUUUAGCUUGCUUUCAGGCAGACUGGUACUAGUCUAUAUAUUCUUUUCUCCUUAGAAAUAGGCUAGAAAUCUAGCAUAUACUCCUAUAUAUAAGGAGACUGCUGAUUUUUAUAUCCAGCCUGCUGUGAGAAUGAGUUCACAUCACAGCAUCACCGUGCAUCAUUUGUACUACCUCAGCACAGGUAUCAGUGUGAGCUCAGAAUGGAGGAACUAAUUAAAUCUACAUUCCUGAUGAGGAAAAAUAUGAGGGAAGUACUGAAGACAAGAAAGUACAGUGGCCUAAGGAUGAAGACGGAAGGGAGCGAAAGUACUUCAGCUGGUAGACUCAAACUCUACAAGCCUAGACAUUUUUUUCUUUACACUCCAAUGUCAAUAAUAUCGAUAACAGUUAAGAAUAAAGUGAAGAAUAAAAGUUAAGGAUAAAACGAAGGCUAUGUAAGCCUUCCCUAUCUGUGAGACACUUAGGCUCCACCAGCUGUGCUGGCUUGCUUCCUACAUCUGGGCUCCAAAAUGGGUAACAAGAAAACUCUGAGAGAACUAUUUUAAGAACUCUGGCACCAAGCAGAGUGGGGAAAGGAGGGAAAAAAAAAUCCUAACCCUCCACUUCUUUACUGAAAUCAGUCUGUUGAAAGCAUUUCUGUUUGGCUGCCACAGUUCGCCAAGCAGCCUGAUGUGCCAGCUAUUAGUACCCAGCAGAGAGCAUGUUUGCAGCUAUUCAGCAAAACUAUCACAUGUCCUUAGCCAAGGAAAGAGGGAUCAGCUGCUGAACACUGGAGCUGAUGAAGAGCAGAGCUAUUAAAGCAAGCAAUAAAAAACAACGCAACCCAGAAUGGAGACUGAUUUUUAUUAUUAUUUUUUUAACCUAAUGGAUGACAUUUAUAACUGGAAAGUAUGAGUCAGAGCGUGCUGUGCCAGCAUGGGGUCUUUAUGAUGUUUUCAUCUUGCUCGUUCUUCUUCCUUGGCUGGGACCAUUCUGCCUUGUUGAUUUGUAAGUUUUAGGUUCCUUGCAGUGCUUAGGAGAUGGGCGUGCAUGUGUGCGUGCAUGCGUGCGUGUGUGAGUAGUGACCACAGCUCAGUGAACUGGAAGUAAAGUGCUAAACUACUCCACUCUGAAAUUUUUUAGGGAGUAGUGAGACUGCUUUACAGUGCUGGGACCUCUUAGAUAAAUUAUUGCUGCCAGAGUGUUAUUGCUGCCAAAUGUGGCAGUGGUGUGAGUGUGGGAGGCAACCACCCACUUCCUAGUGAGGACAGAAUGGACACAGCUCUGUCCCUGCAACCACUAAUCUCAUCCAAAAAGCUUUAAAAACAGAGAACUGUUUGUCCCUUUGUAGCACAUAAGCAAAUAGAAUCCAUUUGCCACAGAGCUUCUCUGUAAUACCGUAUCUCUAGUAUGUAACCAAGAAACAAAAUUACACUAUUUGUUGCGAUGACAUUAGAGUCUGGUUACCUCAGAAACAACACGCCUGAUUCCGGAUCCUGGUUCCAGAAAUUUCUCUUUACGUUGCAAGAUCAGCCCCACAGCAUUUCCCAGGAAGAAUACGUUGAGGAACCCCUGGUAUGGGAGAGUCCUGUCCUGACAUAAAGCCAGCAUUGUUUUAUGGUAGCUUCUCCUACCCUGCAAUGCCCUGUUGCAGAAAUCACGUGGGGACAAGUAGGCUCCUGCAAGCAGAGUAACCCCCAAGACCCACGCAAGGCAACAUCACAUAGCCAUGGCUGCUUGGGCUGGCGUGGCAGCUGAGUCCCCUCGCGGCUUCCCGAGGACAUGGGGAGGUACGAGGGACCUGCAGAGCCUUUGCCUCUCUUUUCCCACAGCUGAUAUGGGUCAUGCUCAGUGCAGCUGAAAAUUGAGCCCUCAGGCAGGGAGCUGUAAUGAAUUCACUAGAUUAGGCAAUGAAAACCAGUGUGAACAAAACAACCAGCUGGCUCAAGAAUAUUUCAUGCUAGCAUAAAAGUGCUACAGGAGGGGGGGAAAUAAGCUUCAAAACUGCCCCCUUUCAUUCCUCUGAAUAUCCUGCUCAUCUUUUCUUUUAUGCACAUUGUUAUACCCUACAUACAGCUGUGAGACUGAAAAGAAAUAAAGGUAUUUUCAUCCUCUAUGUACUGUUAUAUGUCAUAGUUAUUAAAAACAGUAGACUGUGUCCUCAUGUAAGAAUGUGAUGCACCUUGGCAAAGGACUGUUCAAGGAGGAUUUCUGUCUGAAGCUCUGGGAUGUCACUUUUUUCUUUUUUUUUAUUUUAUUUUAUAAUGAGUAUUGAAAUCCAACCCAGUUGUUUAGCUCUUUGUAGUUAUUUUUUAAUCCUGGACAAUUAAAAGGCUUUUCAAGUUUUCACAAUCAUUAUUUUUAAAGAGUCUGUGAAAGAAAAAUAGCAUACAUAGGGUAACAGAAUUCCAGAAUCAGAAACUGAAAAGGUGUUUUACCUUUGUUAUUGAAAGUGGAACAGUAAUUUCAGCACAACUAGUGUGAGAGUAGACUGCAGUUUAUUUCAUUGCUUUCAUCCUACAUCUAGGGUUGUGUCAAAACCCUGGGCUUUAAAAUGCUGUUGAUUUUCCUUUAGCUGAGAUGUGUCUUUUCACAUGUAAGCCAAUCCAUUCACACUCUUCCUGUGAUUAUCCUCAAGAAAUGAGAAGAAAAUUCCAUACAAUGUGCAUGCCUGAUAGCAUCGCAUUUACACUUCAAGCCUUCUUUCACUUGAUUAAUAGUUUCCCUUCCUUUCCAGUUUCCAAGAAAUAUGUAUUCCCAUGAGGUGUUUUUGGAAAAUGCAUGGCAAUUACUCUACCGGAGGAAUGUCUCCUAUGGAUGCCACUCUUACCACAAAAAAGGCAUGGGUAAAAACAGCCUCACAUUUGGCAUUUGAAGGAGUGAAAGGCAACACUUAAGAAUUCCUGUAUGGCGUCGCCCUUACAAUCUCCUAAGGAAAUGCACCGUAAAAUACAGUAUGUGCUGAGAACAGGCUGGGCCACCUAAAUAUGGAUUGCUUUUGGCUUCAGCUAUUCAGAAACACUGAGAACAGGUGCCAAAUUAAGUCACCCUACUAGCUGCUUUCCAUGGCUGAAGGUCAGUAAUAGUUACCACAGAGCGGAAUUUGGAUAGCACAUCUUGCAAUUCCAGAGCACUGUAACUGCUCUAAAACACCACGGCAUUCUUACCUCGGGAAACCUCAAGUACAGAGCAGUCUAGCUUUCCUUUGACAUGGCAGUGGUUUACAGCUUAUAAGGAAAACAUAUUAGUCUUUCAUAUCAAUGUUAAUUUAUGCCACAUUUCCUGUCUAUUUAUAACUCAAACAUUCUAAAUUAGAACUAUUACAUGCAAAUAUAUUAUAAUCUGACAGAAGACAAAAUAUUCCAUAAGUCUGAUUUGGAAAAGGGAAAUAUUCAUUCAUAUAUAGCUGACUAAUGGUUCUACAGUUGCAAUUUCAGGAACAUGCUUUUUUGAAAGAACUGCUGACAACCCAUGUUAAACUUUGAAGAUUAGUAUGUUUAGCCAUAAUUUUGCUCCCAUUGGAAACCUACUGUGUUGUCUGCUUGUUGCUUAUUGCCUUUUUUGUUUCUUAGAAUACUUGCAUAAAUAGAGAAUUUUUGUUACUUGAAAGGUUUUUGAUCUCCUUUUCAUCUCCCACCUGCAAUUAUAACUCUUUCUUGGUGACAUCAUCCAUUGGAUGAAAUGAAAAGAAUUUUGAUAAAUGGCUGAAUAAACAAUUACUGACAUCAAGUGGAAAAUAGCCAGCUGGAACUGAUGAACUCUGAAAAAGCUUGUUUGCAUGCAGGAAUCAUAAAUAAGAAAGAACACAAUCAAAGAAAUACAGAAAAUACUUUAUGCAAACUAUGCAGUGCAAAGUCAAUGCACAGAAUUGAAAAUCUCAUGAAGGUGGUUGGUAAUACAAAGUUAAGUAUGUAACCUGCUUAGCUAGAGAAUUCUUGCAAGCAUGAAUAUAACAAUAGUGAUAUAUUAUUUUAUUUUAUUUGAAUAAACAGUGAACUAGUACAGA